AAAGCCAUGAAGUCACCCCAAGUUCAAACCCAAAAUGCAAUUUGCAGUGGUUAGAAAUGACAAAGGAUGGGUGGUAGGAUCCAGAGAAAAAAACAGUGAAACCCGAUGGACCUUAAAUAGAUCUGAGGGCACUGAUUUGAUUAUUUUGGGUGAAAUCUUUUAAGAAAAUCUUGUCAGAUUCUUCACAGAAAAUUUGGUAAAGCCUAUAUUUCAUCGCCGGUCUAGCAAAGUUCACCUUGUGCCCAACCUUCUGUCUCCCUGAGUCAGACCUGCAGACGAUUGCAUGCCACCAGCUGUCUUCCCUCCUGAGAACAUGACACAAAGGAACACUCCCUGUCAAGUUCUUCGUUAUCCUUCUGAUGAAUUUACCCUGGUUUAAACAAGUUGGUGGUAGACAGACCUUUCUCGCAUUUUCACAGACGUGCCAGGAGGAAACCCAGCGUCUCUCAGUUGCCUUUAAAUAUAUGAGAUACCAUGAAAGGAUUUGAGGGUUUUUUAAUGUGAAUCCAAAGAUGACAUUUACAAAAGGUGGAGAAGCAGUUCCCUACUGAGGGACAUGGAUACAAAAAGCAGAUGACACAACACAUCCCAUAGAGUUCCCAGGGAAGAAUGAACCCAGAUUCUUGACCUGCAGAGGUUUUCGCAAUCGACUUCAGGCUGGAACGGGCAUUGCUCUUGCACUGAAGAAAGGCUGUCCUGACUCCCUCAGAGUGCCUCAACAUCAACCAAGAGCCACCGUGAACCUCUGGGGCACUGAGCCUGGCCACCAGCACCCCCACCCCAGCCCAUAUGGCCUGGGCCUCUCCCUUGAUGUUUAAAGGAGAUGAUAAAAAUGCUGCAACCCAGAUAAUGAUCACCUUACUCUUCAAAAAUACUGCCCAAGUUCUUUGUUCAAGAUGCCAAGAACCUGGAUACUCUCCACUGGUAACAAAUAUGACUUUGUUUUUAGCAAGCAACUUUGCAGUGUAAUUAAGUUAAGGAUCUUGAGAUGAGAUCAUCUUAGAAUAUCUGGGUGGGCCCUAAAUCCAAUGACAAGUGUCCUCAUAGGAAGGGAAGAUACACACAGAGGAGAAGGUGGUGUGAAGAUGGAAGCCAAGACUGUUGAUACCAGUUGGAGAGCACCAAGAACUACCCGCAGCCACUGAAAGCUAGGAGAGAGGCAUAGGACUGUCUCCUUCAGACCCUCCAGAAAGACCAAACCUGCCUGCGCCUUGAUUUCAGACUUUUGGCCUCCCACAUUGUGAGAGAAUAAAAUUUUGUUUUUGAAGCCAUCUAG
rnacentral:antisense_RNA from 1 species